AUCUACAGCCAUGCCACCCUGAACAAGCCCGAUCCCGUCUGAUCUUGGAAGCUAAGUAGGGUCGGGUCUGGUUAGUACUUGGGUGGGAGACUACCUAGGAAGACCAGGUGCUGUAGGCG
rnacentral:rRNA from 1 species